GUGCCAGCCGCCGCGGUAAGACGUAGGGGGCGAGCGUUGUCCGGAAUUACUGGGCGUAAAGAGCACGUAGGCGGGUAAUUAAGUCAGAUGUGAAAGACCGGGGCCCAACCUCGGGGUUGCAUCUGAAACUGGUUAUCUUGAGGGCAGGAGAGGAAAGUGGAAUUCCUGGUGUAGCGGUGAAAUGCGUAGAAAUCAGGAGGAAUACCAGUGGCGAAGGCGGCUUUCUGGACUGACCCUGACGCUGAGGUGCGAAAGCGUGGGUAGCAAACAGGAUUAGAUACCCUGGUAGUCCACGCUGUAAACGAUGGAUACUAGGUGUGGGAGGUAUCGACCCCUUCCGUGCCGGAGCUAACGCAAUAAGUAUCCCGCCUGGGGAGUACGGUCGCAAGGCUGAAACUCAAAGAAAUUGGCGG
rnacentral:rRNA from 1 species